rnacentral:rRNA from 1 species
UACGGAGGGGGCUAGCGUUGUUCGGAAUUACUGGGCGUAAAGCGCACGUAGGCGGCUUUGUAAGUUAGAGGUGAAAGCCUGGGGCUCAACUCCAGAACUGCCUUUAAGACUGCAUCGCUUGAAUCAUGGAGAGGCGGGUGGAAUUCCGAGUGUAGAGGUGAAAUUCGUAGAUAUUCGGAAGAACACCAGUGGCGAAGGCGGCCCGCUG